GAUGAACGCUGGCGGCGCGCCUAACACAUGCAAGUCGAACGAUUAAAGCACCUUCGGGUGUGUAUAACGUGGCGAAAAGGUGAGUAACACGUGGGAAACCUGCCCCUUUCAUUGGGAUAGACCCGGGAAAAAGUGGAUCAUACAGAAGACUUCGAGACUUGCGCAUGGAAGAGUCGAGAAAGCUUCGGCGGGGGGGGAUGGGCCCGCGGCCUGUUAGCUUGUUGGUGGGGGAAUGGCCUACCAAGGCAAUGACGGGUAGCUGGGCUGAGAGGGUGACCAGCCACAUUGGGACUGAGAUACGGCCCAGACUCCUACGGGAGGCAGCAGUGGGGAAUCUUGCACAAUGGGCGAAAGCCUGAUGCAGCAACGCCGCGUGCGGGAUGACGGCCUUCGGGUUGUAAACCGCUUUCAGCUGUGACGAGGCGAAAGUGACGGUAAUGGGUGAAGAAGCCCCGGCUAACUACGUG
rnacentral:rRNA from 1 species